AGUGAAGUGCGGGGCAGAAGGGGUUGGUAGUCCCGGGUCAGACUUACAGGCCUUAUUCUUUUUGAAAAACGGGAUAUAAAGAAUACACCCCAACUUGGCAGCUUUCACCACGCUCUCCCAUUUGACAGCGAGAACAAUAACGGACAGCAGUCUCGGCUGGCAGAGGAGAAAAGUCGGAGGGAAACUGAGGCCAGGCGGCUCAGACCAGCGGCCAAGAAAGGGUCAAGGCACGAAUGCCCACGCCGACUGGGCGUCCCAGCUCCCAGUUUUGGACAGAAACAAAUUCCUCUACAAAAUAUCGUACGCUCACACCUGUGCGCUCCAGGGUCGGGGACCGAGGCGACUCCAGGCCGCGUCAGCUCGGAGCCCGGACCCCCGGGCCGAAGGGCGGCGAGGGAGCGCGAUUUCUCCAAAGGGAUGAGUCGGGGAGCGUAGACUCGCAGCUGGCGGGGCGCGCGCCGACGCGCACAUUCCACGCCCGCAGCCAACUCCCCGCACAAAGUGGGCUUUGUCUCAGCCCCCUGUCCCCUCGGCCCCGGGAAACAGGAGAGGAGCCCCCAGAAUGGGGAAGGGCGCGGCGGGGAGGCGAAGCUGGGAGGGCUAAGGCCCCGCCGGUCCCCAACCCAGCGCGUCUCAGCGGGCGGAUGGCGGGCAUCCGGCGCCGCGCUGCGCCAGCCGAGCCAUCGCGGGGCGCAGGUCCCGCUCUGGGGCCCGAGGCUCAGCGGGGGAGGCUCGGGCGGCGCGUAGGGGCCAGGCUGAGGUCACCGAAUGGCGGGCUGCGGCCACAGGGUCGCCGCCCCGGACUGGCUGCAGCAUGGGCGGUGGCGCAGCGGAGGCAGGCAAAGGAUGCUCGCGCAGCUGUUCGCUCGGGCUCUCGCUUACCGCCACCCCCCACCCCGCCCCCGGCCAAGGGCUGGAAACAGGACCUCGGGGCCGGGAGAGCAAGCCCAGAGGCUCGCGCACGCACGGCUGCAGCUGGAGGCAAGGGACAAAGCCUCAGCAAGGGCAGGGUGCGCUAGUCCCCGGAAAGCAGCCCAUAAAAAACUGAAUCCACGCGUAGAUCGCGGCUCAGCGGCUCGGUGAAGCUCCGGCCACCGCUGCCCCUGCCGCCUGGGGGCCCAGCAGCCGCCGGCUGGGUCCCCUGCCCGCCCGCCGCCCACCCGGCGCGACUCCAGCCCGCGCCGCGCAUGCGCUCCGUCCCCCCCUUAAAGGGCCAGUGCGUUCCCGCCCAGCUCUUCGCCUCCCGCAGCCAUUCCUCUGCCUCAAGUCGUCUCUAGGACGCGGGUGGGCUUGUGCUCCCCCUCUCACCUCUCGCAAAAGGCCUUGCGACGCCGGUGCAGAGCUGCCGGGGAAGUUUACAAAGUGCCCAACCGAGCGCAAAGUCCACGGAGAUUCCGGCCGGGCUCAGAAGGCCGGCGGUCGGGACUUUCCUACGGGAACUGCCUGCCUCGCUGGACUUCUCGGGGUGUAGAAACCAGAGGAUGGUUUGGAAACCCAGGGUUCCAGACCGGAUUCAGCGUUUGUUUUUCUGUGGGAUAACGAAUAGAUCGCUCCCCUCUGUGGGCCUCGGUUUCCCCCUCAGCCGAGGCCUUCACCCUGGGAUGCCCACCCUUGGAACUUACAAAGAAGCCCAGGUCCCAUGGUGGAGGUGCCAUGAAGUGACGUGGCUGACAUCUCCAGCUGGGCUCUCAGAAGACAGCCACCCUCAACCGCAAGAUAGGUGGUUAACAGCCGAUUCUGGUCCCCAGCCUUUGAGUCUUCCGGCUGAGAUCCCAGAUACGGACCGAGACAAGUCAACCCCACUGUCCCCUGUCUGAAUUUCUCUCCCAUGGAACUGGGAGAAAAGAAGUGAUUGUUGUUGUUUUAAGCCGGACACCCCAACCCUCACUCAAGCUUUGACCCUCGGCCACACAGCUGGCUCUUGAUCAUCCAUCAGGCCUGGGGUGAGUACACUGGAGGCUUGACCCUCCUCUCAAGGGUGAACUUAGGAAAGAGGCCCACAUAGAUGCUGAAAGCCAUUUAGGGCCAACUGGACAGGGAAUAUGCAGAAUAUGGUCUACAAAGGGGCAUGGGCUUGGCUCUGGGACUCCUUGUCCCAUGGCGAGGAGCACAGCCAGAGAAGAGUGACGGUGGGGGAACAGGAACCCCAUUGCCUGGGUAUAAGGACAGACUCAUGAGGUUAUGGUGGAAAUAAAAUUUGAAGCCAGAGGAAGACAAGAUGAUGCCAAGGAGGCAGCAUGGUAUGCGGUGAAGGAUCUGGGUUUUGGAGCAGAACUGCCUGGUUAGAAUCCUGACAUUGCCUCUUUCUGGCUGUGCAACUGUGGGCAAGUUAUUUAACUUCUCUGGUCUCCAUGUUUUGGGUUUAGGAUGGGAAAGGAAAUUACUUGCUAAUAAGACUGUUGAGAGUUAGAUAAUGUGAGUAAUGCACAGACUCCACUCUGAUGCAUAGUAGGGAUUCAAUUCGUGGAUGUGAUUAUUAUUGUAUUAAUGGCAGCAUUAUUAGGAGAUCUAAUGACAGUGAUUUGGAAAUAUCCAUCCUUGUGGUAGAUAUUGCAGACUCUGGAGGCAUCUGCCUUUUUCACUUACCAUGGGAUUGUGGAGAAAUCAUGUAAUCCUUCUGUGCCUUGGUUUCCUCUUUUGCAAAACAGAUUAUGAAAACCACCUCAUAGGUCAUUAUGCAACUUAAGUGGAACGAUGUGUGUUAAGGGUUUGGCAUAUGGUGAGCACUUUGACAAACUUAGCAGCUGUUAUCUGUUAAAUAUUUAUUACCCCAUCGAGAUAUUUGGGAUUCAUUGUUAUCAUCCUCCUCCUCACAGUGCUAUGGGGUAGGUGUGGCAAUGCACACACCUUGCUCAGAUGACUUUCUGACUCAGCAGAUCUGAGUUGGAGUCUGAGAUUCUUCAUCUCUAUCCUGCUUUCAGGUCAUGCUGAUGUGGCUGGUCCAAGUACCACACUUGGAGCAGCUUGCAUUAUUUUACCUUCAUAAUUGAUGUGGAAAUGUAAUUUCAAGAAGGUCAUACUUCUUGUGCAUGACUAAGACUAAACAACAGAACUAGGAUUCAAACAAAGGCACUUGGACUCUAGAGAUGCUGAAAAAAAAAAAAACCUGUUUGGAAUCUGAAAAUUGUCAGUAAAUAAAACUUGAUGGUGCUUCAAGUUGCUCUGAGGUUCUAACCGUGCUUGGCCUUAUUUCAGCUGUGUGUGGCACAGUGGAGGUCCCGGACCUCAGAGAGCGCCCCCUGGAUACAUCUCUGAGUCCUGGAAACAGUAGGCCAACAUGUAAUUACAACAUGUAAUUUACAACAUGUAAUGUGUAAAGCCUACACUUUACACAUUAUCUCCCCAUACCCUGUUUGCUUAUUCUCUCUUUGCCUCAGUUGCCAUCUCUGUAGAAUGGGUUCAAUAACAGUCAUUAUGUCCUAAAACUGUGUGGGGAUGACAGGAGUUCUUUCAAGCAAAGCACUUAGAACAGGGCUCCCUGUGAGGGACAAUGUGACAUAGAGUUAUGUGCGGAAAGGGCUCGAGUACUCUUGCACAAAAUGGCUAACAUCCAGGCAGGAACAGUAAUGAGGUACCCAGCAGUGCAGGGGGACACAGAUGGUUGGGGAGCUAUGGAUGGCAUUAACCCUAUCAGUUCUUCAACCUCACCCCUCUCUUCUACCAAAUGUUUUAGUGCCUCUUUUUCCACUCUAAAAUGCAAUCCAGGAGUCCCUCUUGGGGCUCAGUGGUAAUGAACCUGACUACCAUCCAUGAGGAUUCAGGUUCAAUCCCUGGUCUUGCUCAGUGGGUUAAGGAUCUGGUGUUGCCCUGGGCCGAAGUGUAGGUCACAGAUGUGGCUUGGAUCUGGUGUUGCUGUGGCUGUGGUGUAGAUCAAAGAUGCGGCUCGGACAGGUGCCAUCCUAAAAACAAAACAAAACUAAAAAAGCAAUCUACUGAUAAUAUAACCUAUCUAAAUGCAUAAUUUAAAAACAUUACUAUAAACUUAAAGUGUAGUACAGGGAAGAAAUCAAAGUAAUUUUUAAAAAUGAUGUGACUUUAUUAAGCAUAACACAUAGAAAAAUAAAAUAUGAAUAAUUUCUAACAGAACUAUUUGUAUUUUAAUCUUUAGUGAUCAGGCACAAAGAUACUACAUGACACAAAAGAGGAGUCAGUUGGAGAAAUCUGAGUAGGCUUUAGUCUAGUUAAUUGCAUUGUGCCAAUCAAUUUCCUGAUUUUACUCAUGAACUGUAGUUAGGUAAAAUGCUUCCAUUGGGGGGAAACUGAGUGACGGGUACAGGACACCUCUCUGCACUAUUUUUGCAGCUUCUUCUGAGUCUAUAAUCAUUUGAAAAUACAGUGUAGACUUUUACAAGGAGUUGGAAGCUUGCACCUAUUUGUAGAUUCACUGUAAAUUCGACAGCUCUAAGUAUAGACUGAUAUAUACCGCCAAAGGAGUGAAAUACUGUGAGUGGUGUCCCCACUUUGUGAUUUCAUUUUCUGCAACAGUAAACAAUUUAUGGCAAGUCCUGAACAAAACAAAGUCCAGUUUUACCUUGAUUUACAAGAGUUGAGUUGCUGGGAAGUUUGGCAGUGUUAAAACUUCAUGAAGUUCCCAUGGUGCUUUGGUUUGAUCUGGCUUGACUCUGCGGUGUUGCCUUUCCCUGGCCUGGCACAGAGGGUCAAAGGAUCUGGCAUUGCUGUGAUUGUAGCUUGGCUUGCAGCUGUGGCUUGGAUUCAAUCCCUGGCCCAGGAACUUACAUAUGCUGUGGGUGCGGCCAUUAAAAAACAAACAAACAAACAAACAAAAAAAACAACUUCACAAAAUAUUGCUCUGUUUGCUGGUAAAAAGUGUUAGGUCCAGACAGAUCACUCAAAUCAGUUUUUCACUUACAUACAUAUCUGGUGGAAUUUCUGAAAUGCAUGUGGGACAGGAGACGAUCUUUGUUGUGCGGUACUGUCCUGUUGUUUUUGGAUGCCAGGACUAAAUGGCAGGUGGGAAGCCCAAUCCUUGGACUAGCUAACCCCUCCUCCUCACACACUAAGAGCCAUUUUAUCAUGAACUGAGUUCCUCACCUCUGGGUAGGGGUUACUGUCUCAAAUUUGGGACUGAAGUACCAAGCCUCCAUUGUCCCUACCACUCCAAGAAAUGGCUCACAUCCCCUCUCCCUGUAUAUCUUUCCUCAACUCUGUAUUCCUUUAACCUGGACUAUGUCAACAUCAUCCUUAUGAAUGAGCCUCCAGAAGCCAGGUGCCAGGAGCUGAAUUCCUGGAUACAGCUGCUUCCUCCUAAGAGAGGAAUCAUCCUCUCGGCUUGGUGCCAAGGGAGAGAUGAGACCUAGCUACAGUCCCAAAGACCUUCCCAUCAUGUAGCCCAGCCCCGUGCUUGAGCCUGGGACCUACACCACAUACUGUGCUUCAGAUAGCUUUCCGGAAUUUGAAAUCUGAGUAGGAGUUCCUGCCAUUCGAAUACUCAAAGAAUGAAUUACUCAGUCAGCCCUCACACUUUCUUACUAAUAAAGGGGAAAUAUGGAACUGGGGAAGAAAUGUGACUCUUGGCAAAACUGAUUUCAAAACAGAAUAAAAAAUGCUGAUGAGCUGUGCAAAUCUGAUCAAGCCACUUAACCUCUCUGAGUCAUUACAUCCUCAUCUUAUGUAAGGAUCAUGUGAAAUAGUUUAUGUGAGAGAGCUCUGUAAACUAUGAAAAGUUAUAACCAUAUGAUAUAUUGCUAUCAGUAAGCGUUAAUUUGAGCCAGUCCAAUGAUCGAUUUAAAUAUGCCAAUGAAUGAAAAAGCAGUGGGUGUGAAUCCUGAAUUACAGGAACAUAGAUUACACAUACUCUUCAAAUCCAUCAUCUAGAGCAGGGGUUGACAAAUUAUAGCCCAUGGGAAAAUCCGGCCCACAGGCUGCUUUUGUAAUUAAAGUUUUAUUGGAACAGAGCCACUGUAAUUUGGUUAUAUGCUGUCUUGGCUUGUUUUGGCACUACAACAGUAGAGUUGAGGAGCUGUGACAGAGAGCAGAUGGUCUGCAAAGCCUAAAAUAUUUAUUAUCUGGUCCUCUACUGAAUACGUUUGCUGACCCUGGGUCUAUACAGUCGACCAAAAGAUCUGUCUAAAGGGCACAACCAUGUCCCUACCCACCUUUUCCAUGAUUCCCGAUGGACAGAGUACACACUUUAACUUGGAAGACAAGACCCUCUGUAACCUGGUUUCAGCCCACCAGCCAGCCUCACUCCACCAGCCAGCCUUAGCUCCAAACGGGAUGCCUUACAAAAUAAGUUUCUUUGUUGCAUUGCCCUCACUCUGUGCUGGUUCUCACUCCAUGCCUUUGCCAAGGACACAGGUUGGCUUGGGAUGGUUCUGGCAGGCUGAGGUCUGGAUGCCUUUCUUAGUCCCAUCCCUGGAGGCUUCAGCCCCUCUGUCCUUGAAACAUGUUUUCGGCUUGUUCCUCCCCACCUGGGAAGGCCCUGAGGAACUUGGCUCUGCAGUGUGUAAAGCCCCAGCUCCAUGCCUGUCACCCAGGAAGUAGCAUUGCAGAGCCAUUCUUAUGAUAUAUCACCACCUUGGGUACUGCUAAGGCCCAGGACACUCCUACUUUCAUGGAGCCAUGAGAGUUCAGGGGGAGAGGACUCUGUCCCCACUGUCCACCUGCUGGUCCAUCCUGUCUCCCGUCUCUGGAAGAUAGCAGGGACUUUUCUAAGGCCGUCAACACUAUAAUUUCAAGUGCUCUGUAAUGACUCUAUAGGCACACAGACACUUAAUAGAAUUUUUUGUGAAAAAGUUUGAGUCCACAGUCAUUCUAGACCUCCUCCUGACUAUAGUGUAAUUGCUGCCAAUAGACAAAGAGCGAAUUACUGUAUAACCUGCCUUCUGGUUUCAAAGCAAACAAUCAACAUGUGAUGUGCUCGUAGGGGGAUCUGAAGAGUGUUACAGUUGUGCCCGAGUCUCUGCCCUGCUGGAGAAGACCAACGAUAAUGAUUCAAUAUUGUCAAUUGUUUGAGAUAAUGAUUCAGUCAGUUAUAGGACCACUGUCUCUGGCUGGGAAGGGACAAGGAGGUCCUAUGGAGAGCAGAAAAAUGGCCCCCAAAGAUGUCCAUGUCCUGAUCGCAUGAACCUGGGACUGUGUUGCAUUACAUGGCAAAAGGGAAGGAAGGUGGUAGAUGGAAUGGAGUUGCUAACCGAUCUUAAAAUAGGAGGAUUGUCCUGGAGUAUCAGGAAGGCCCAAUAUAAUCACAAGGAUCCUUAAAUGUGGACGAGGGAGGCAGAACAGGAGGUCAGAGCGAUGUGAUGGGAGAAGGACUCGAUCCACCACUGCUGGCUUCACAGGAGGAGGAAGGGGACUGCACAUCAAGGAAUGGUCCUUGGGGUUCCUGCCGUGGCGCAGUGGGUUAAGAAUCUGACUGCAGCGGUUCAAGAAUCUGACCGUAGUGGUUCCAAUCACUGUGGAGGUGCAGGUUCGAUCCCUGGCCCUGGCAUUUCCAUAGCUGUGGUGUGGGUCAGUUAUGGCUCUGAUUCAGUCCCUGGCCCAGGAACUUCCAUAUGCCAUGAGUGCAGCCA